UGCAAGUCGAACGGCAGCACAGGAGAGCUUGCUCUCUGGGUGGCGAGUGGCGGACGGGUGAGGAAUACAUCGGAAUCUACUCUGUCGUGGGGGAUAACGUAGGGAAACUUACGCUAAUACCGCAUACGACCUACGGGUGAAAGCAGGGGAUCUUCGGACCUUGCGCGAUUGAAUGAGCCGAUGUCGGAUUAGCUAGUUGGCGGGGUAAAGGCCCACCAAGGCGACGAUCCGUAGCUGGUCUGAGAGGAUGAUCAGCCACACUGGAACUGAGACACGGUCCAGACUCCUACGGGAGGCAGCAGUGGGGAAUAUUGGACAAUGGGCGCAAGCCUGAUCCAGCCAUACCGCGUGGGUGAAGAAGGCCUUCGGGUUGUAAAGCCCUUUUGUUGGGAAAGAAAUCCAGCUGGCUAAUACCCGGUUGGGAUGACGGUACCCAAAGAAUAAGCACCGGCUAACUUCGUGCCAGCAGCCGCGGUAAUACGAAGGGUGCAAGCGUUACUCGGAAUUACUGGGCGUAAAGCGUGCGUAGGUGGUCGUUUAAGUCCGUUGUGAAAGCCCUGGGCUCAACCUGGGAACUGCAGUGGAUACUGGGCGACUAGAGUGUGGUAGAGGGUAGCGGAAUUCCUGGUGUAGCAGUGAAAUGCGUAGAGAUCAGGAGGAACAUCCAUGGCGAAGGCAGCUACCUGGACCAACACUGACACUGAGGCACGAAAGCGUGGGGAGCAAACAGGAUUA
rnacentral:rRNA from 1 species